UUAAAUUGAAGAGUUUGAUCAUGGCUCAGAUUGAACGCUGGCGGCAGGCCUAACACAUGCAAGUCGAACGGUAACAGAAAGCAGCUUGCUGCUUUGCUGACGAGUGGCGGACGGGGGAGUAAUGUCUGGGAAACUGCCUGAUGGAGGGGGAUAACUACUGGAAACGGUAGCUAAUACCGCAUAACGUCGCAAGACCAAAGAGGGGGACCUUCGGGCCUCUUGCCAUCGGAUGUGCCCAGAUGGGAUUAGCUUGUUGGUGGGGUAACGGCUCACCAAGGCGACGAUCCCUAGCUGGUCUGAGAGGAUGACCAGCCACACUGGAACUGAGACACGGUCCAGACUCCUACGGGAGGCAGCAGUGGGGAAUAUUGCACAAUGGGCGCAAGCCUGAUGCAGCCAUGCCGCGUGUAUGAAGAAGGCCUUCGGGUUGUAAAGUACUUUCAGCGGGGAGGAAGGGAGUAAAGUUAAUACCUUUGCUCAUUGACGUUACCCGCAGAAGAAGCACCGGCUAACUCCGUGCCAGCAGCCGCGGUAAUACGGAGGGUG
rnacentral:rRNA from 1 species